CUUUUUUCUUAGAGUUCCCAAGAUGGUGGCAGGCUGCUCCCAAGGGCGCUGCUCCCAAGAUGGCGGGAAGCCUUUUGUUCUCUGACCUGGGGUUCUUGGCCUCACAGAUUCCAAGGAAUGGAACCUUGGGCCAUGCGGGAGGCAUGAGAUAUCAAUCAAAUAUAUUUAAGCAGUACAUCGGUUUGGUUCAGAAAGGAGGGACAACUCAAAGACUUCCACGCUAUAGCUUUUGAAAAAAACAAACUGAGAAAUCAUUUGUGGGGUAAAAAAGAUAUGGACAGCAAUAAGUACUUACCUCUAUAUUGAAUGAUAGGUCAGAUGUUGAAGUGGUCACUUCCAGUGUGGUUUUAUUUGGAACUGGGACCUCUAAGAAAGCAAUUAAGGUUAAAUGAGGUUGCUCUGAUCUGACAGUAUUAGUGCAUUUAUAAGAAGAGAAAUUAGGGAGCUAUCCAGCCCCAAUGAGAAAGAAGAGGUCACAUAAGCACACAGCAAGAAGGCUGCUGUCUACACGUCUAGAGAAGAGGCCUCAGAAAGAAGCCAGCCUUGCCAGCAAUUUGAUCUUGGACAUUUUAGCCUUGAGAACUGUGAAAAUAAAUUUCUGUUGUUUAAGUUACCCAAUCUGUAGCAUUUUGUUAUGGCAGCUAUAGCAGACAAGUGUGGUAUACUAACUAAAUAAAACUUAUUUUUUAAAAAAUGGACAAAGAAUUUGAAUUGACACUUUUCCAAAAAUGUUAUACAAUAUGCAGUAUGUACAUGAAAAGAGAGUCAGUAUCAUUAGCCAUCAGGUAAAUACCAAUGAAAACCAUGAGACACCACUCACAUCCACUAGAAAUUGCAUAUAAUAUUCCCACAAAAAUUGUAUAUAAAUUUGUACAGCAGCAUUAUUCAUAGUAGCCAAAAAGUGAAAAUAAUUCAACUGUCCAUCAUUCAAUGAAUGGGUUAAAAAAUUUAAUGUGUCGAUAAAAUGGAAUAUAAUUUGCCACAAAAAGUAAUAAAAUGCUAAUAUAUACAACAUGGAUGAAUCUUGCAAAAAUUAUGUUAAGUGGAAGAAGCUAGACCCAAAAGGACGCAUAUAGUAUAAUCCUAUUUAUAUGAAGUUUCCUAAAUGGGCAAACUCAUAGAGACAGAAAGUAGAUUCGUGGUUGUCGGUAUCUAAGGAAAAGUGGGAAUGAAAAAUGAUUGCUCAUGGACAUGGCAUUUCUUUUUGACAUAAUAAAAAUAUUCUAAAAUUAGAGGUGUUGAUAUCAAAAAUGCAUAUACUAAAAUCCACUGAAUUACAAAUUUUAAAAGGGUGAAUUUUAUAAAUUAUAAAUUAUAUUUCAAUAAAGAUGUUAUGAAAACUCAAAACAAAUAAUAAAAAAAGUAUUUUCUAUUGCUAUGAAGUUUCAAAAUAGUCAGUGGGGUACACAUAGGUGGUAGUAAAAGUAAAAAGAGAGCAAAGAUAUAUUUGCCAGAAAGUUAGGAGAACGAAUAUUUUCAAGAACAAGGAAAGGGUGUAUGAUCAGGGAAGGACACAAAAGAGGCUUCUGUAGCAACCGUAUUAAAAUAUCUACCUUUCUAUCACAUCUGGAUGGCUAAUCAGUAUUCACUAUUGCAGCUCUAAUGAGAAAUAAUUUAGACUAUAAAAACAACAGUAUCAUAUAGUUAUUGAGACCCCCAAAGUGACUCAUCUGUCUGCUGAGUUUUUUCUUGCUGGUUGUCUUGUUUAUUAUUUAUGUUAAUAAAUCAGAUCUUCUACAGUGCAUUAUAUUGGCUAUUCUCUGUUCCUACCCACUCCCCC
rnacentral:lncRNA from 10 species